rnacentral:rRNA from 1 species
GACGAACGCUGGCGGCAUGCCUAAUACAUGCAAGUCGAGCGAACAGAUGAAGUGCUUGCACUCCUGACGUUAGCGGCGAACGGGUGAGUAACACGUAAGGAAUCUACCUAUAAGCGGGGGAUAACAUUCGGAAACGGGUGCUAAUACCGCAUAAUAUCUUCUUCCGCAUGGACGAAGAUUGAAAGACGGCUCUGCUGUCACUUAUAGAUGACCUUGCGGUGCAUUAGUUAGUUGGUGGGGUAACGGCCUACCAAGACGAUGAUGCAUAGCCGACCGUGGAUGGUGAUCGGCCACAUUGGGACUGAGACACGGCCCAAACUCCUACGGGAGGCAGCAGUAGGGAAUCUUCCGCAAUGGGCGAAAGCCUGACGGAGCAAUGCCGCGUGAGUGAAGAAGGCCUUCGGGUCGUAAAACUCUGUUAUAAGAGAAGAACAAAUUGUAGAGUAACUGCUACAGUCUUGACGGUAUCUUAUCAGAAAGCCACGGCUAACUACGUGCCAGCCGCCGCAGUAA